UGGGAGACUAGCUCAGCUGAUAGAGCAUGAGACUCUUAAUUUCAGGGUUGUGGGUUCAAGCCCCACAUUGGGCAAAA